rnacentral:rRNA from 1 species
CAGGGCGACGAUACAUAGGGGGACUGAGAGGUUAACCCCCCACACUGGUACUGAGACACGGACCAGACUCCUACGGGAGGCAGCAGUGAGGAAUAUUGGUCAAUGGACGCAGUUCUGAACCAGCCAUGCCGCGUGCAGGAUGACGGCUCUAUGAGUUGUAAACUGCUUUUGUACGAGGGUAAACGCAGAUACGUGUAUCUGUCUGAAAGUAUCGUACGAAUAAGGAUCGGCUAACUCCGUGCCAGCAGCCGCGGUAAUACGGAGGAUUCAAGCGUUAUCCGGAUUUAUUGGGUUUAAAGGGUGCGUAGGCGGUUUGAUAAGUUAGAGGUGAAAUUUCGGGGCUCAACCCUGAACGUGCCUCUAAUACUGUUGAGCUAGAGAGUAGUUGCGGUAGGCGGAAUGUAUGGUGUAGCGGUGAAAUGCUUAGAGAUCAUACAGAACACCGAUUGCGAAGGCAGCUUACCAAACUAUAUCUGACGUUGAGGCACGAAAGCGUGGGGAGCAAACAGGAUUAGAUACCCUGGUAGUCCACGCAGUAAACGAUGAUAACUCGUUGUCGGCGAUACACAGUCGGUGACUAAGCGAAAGCGAUAAGUUAUCCACCUGGGGAGUA